rnacentral:rRNA from 1 species
GGGUUGUGAGGUUAAGCGACUAAGCGUACACGGUGGAUGCCCUGGCAGUCAGAGGCGAUGAAGGACGUGCUAAUCUGCGAAAAGCGUCGGUAAGGUGAUAUGAACCGUUAUAGCCGGCGAUGUCCGAAUGGGGAAACCCAGUGCAAUUCGUUGCACUAUCGUUAACUGAAUACAUAGGUUAACGAGGCGAACCGGGGGAACUGAAACAUCUAAGUACCCCGAGGAAAAGAAAUCAACCGAGAUUCCCCCAGUAGCGGCGAGCGAACGGGGAGCAGCCCAGAGUCUGAAUCAGCUUGUGUGUUAGUGGAACGGUCUGGAAAGUCCGACGGUACAGGGUGAUAGUCCCGUACACCAAAAUGCACAGGCUGUGAACUCGAAGAGUAGGGCGGGACACGUGGUAUCCUGUCUGAAUAUGGGGGGACCAUCCUCCAAGGCUAAAUACUCCUGACUGACCGAUAGUGAACCAGUACCGUGAGGGAAAGGCGAAAAGAACCCCGGCGAGGGGAGUGAAAAAGAACCUGAAACCGUGUACGUACAAGCAGUGGGAGCACCUUCGGGUGUGACUGCGUACCUUUUGUAUAAUGGGUCAGCGACUUAUAUUCUGUAGCAAGGUUAACCGUAUAGGGGAGCCGCAGGGAAACCGAGUCUUAACUGGGCGUUAAGUUGCAGGGUAUAGACCCGAAACCCGGUGAUCUAGCCAUGGGCAGGUUGAAGGUUGGGUAACACUAACUGGAGGACCGAACCGACUAAUGUUGAAAAAUUAGCGGAUGACUUGUGGCUGGGGGUGAAAGGCCAAUCAAACCGGGAGAUAGCUGGUUCUCCCCGAAAGCUAUUUAGGUAGCGCCUCGUGAAUUCAUCUUCGGGGGUAGAGCACUGUUUCGGCUAGGGGGUCAUCCCGACUUACCAACCCGAUGCAAACUACGAAUACCGAAGAAUGUUAUCACGGGAGACACACGGCGGGUGCUAACGUCCGUCGUGAAGAGGGAAACAACCCAGACCGCCAGCUAAGGUCCCAAAGUCAUGGUUAAGUGGGAAACGAUGUGGGAAGGCACAGACAGCCAGGAUGUUGGCUUAGAAGCAGCCAUCAUUUAAAGAAAGCGUAAUAGCUCACUGGUCGAGUCGGCCUGCGCGGAAGAUGUAACGGGGCUAAACCAUGCACCGAAGCUGCGGCAGCGACACUAUGUGUUGUUGGGUAGGGGAGCGUUCUGUAAGCCUGCGAAGGUGUGCUGUGAGGCAUGCUGGAGGUAUCAGAAGUGCGAAUGCUGACAUAAGUAACGAUAAAGCGGGUGAAAAGCCCGCUCGCCGGAAGACCAAGGGUUCCUGUCCAACGUUAAUCGGGGCAGGGUGAGUCGACCCCUAAGGCGAGGCCGAAAGGCGUAGUCGAUGGGAAACAGGUUAAUAUUCCUGUACUUGGUGUUACUGCGAAGGGGGGACGGAGAAGGCUAUGUUAGCCGGGCGACGGUUGUCCCGGUUUAAGCAUGUAGGCUGGUUAUCCAGGCAAAUCCGGAUAAUCAAGGCUGAGGUGUGAUGACGAGGCACUACGGUGCUGAAGUAACAAAUGCCCUGCUUCCAGGAAAAGCCUCUAAGCAUCAGGUAACAUCAAAUCGUACCCCAAACCGACACAGGUGGUCAGGUAGAGAAUACCAAGGCGCUUGAGAGAACUCGGGUGAAGGAACUAGGCAAAAUGGUGCCGUAACUUCGGGAGAAGGCACGCUGGUGUGUAGGUGAAGCCCCUGCGGGUGGAGCUGAGACCAGUCGAAGAUACCAGCUGGCUGCAACUGUUUAUUAAAAACACAGCACUGUGCAAACACGAAAGUGGACGUAUACGGUGUGACGCCUGCCCGGUGCCGGAAGGUUAAUUGAUGGGGUUAUCCGUAAGGAGAAGCUCUUGAUCGAAGCCCCGGUAAACGGCGGCCGUAACUAUAACGGUCCUAAGGUAGCGAAAUUCCUUGUCGGGUAAGUUCCGACCUGCACGAAUGGCGUAAUGAUGGCCAGGCUGUCUCCACCCGAGACUCAGUGAAAUUGAACUCGCUGUGAAGAUGCAGUGUACCCGCGGCAAGACGGAAAGACCCCGUGAACCUUUACUAUAGCUUGACACUGAACAUUGAGCCUUGAUGUGUAGGAUAGGUGGGAGGCUUUGAAGCGUGGACGCCAGUCUGCGUGGAGCCAACCUUGAAAUACCACCCUUUAAUGUUUGAUGUUCUAACGUUGGCCCCUGACCGGGGUUGCGGACAGUGUCUGGUGGGUAGUUUGACUGGGGCGGUCUCCUCCCAAAGCGUAACGGAGGAGCACGAAGGUUAGCUAAUCCUGGUCGGACAUCAGGAGGUUAGUGCAAUGGCAUAAGCUAGCUUGACUGCGAGCGUGACGGCGCGAGCAGGUGCGAAAGCAGGUCAUAGUGAUCCGGUGGUUCUGAAUGGAAGGGCCAUCGCUCAACGGAUAAAAGGUACUCCGGGGAUAACAGGCUGAUACCGCCCAAGAGUUCAUAUCGACGGCGGUGUUUGGCACCUCGAUGUCGGCUCAUCACAUCCUGGGGCUGAAGUAGGUCCCAAGGGUAUGGCUGUUCGCCAUUUAAAGUGGUACGCGAGCUGGGUUUAGAACGUCGUGAGACAGUUCGGUCCCUAUCUGCCGUGGGCGCUGGAGAAUUGAGGGGGCUGCUCCUAGUACGAGAGGACCGGAGUGGACGCAUCACUGGUGUUCGGGUUGUCAUGCCAAUGGCACUGCCCGGUAGCUAAAUGCGGAAGAGAUAAGUGCUGAAAGCAUCUAAGCACGAAACUUGCCCCGAGAUGAGUUCUCCCUGAGACUUUAAGUCUCCUGAAGGAACGUUGAAGACGACGACGUUGAUAGGCCGGGUGUGUAAGCGCAGCGAUGCGUUGAGCUAACCGGUACUAAUGAACCGUGAGGCUUAACCUUACAACGCCGAAG